rnacentral:rRNA from 1 species
AUUGAACGCUGGCGGAAUGCUUUACACAUGCAAGUCGAACGGCAGCAUAGGUGCUUGCACCUGAUGGCGAGUGGCGAACGGGUGAGUAAUACAUCGGAACGUGCCCAGUCGUGGGGGAUAACGUAGCGAAAGUUACGCUAAUACCGCAUACGAUCUAAGGAUGAAAGCGGGGGACCGUAAGGCCUCGCGCGAUUGGAGCGGCCGAUGUCAGAUUAGGUAGUUGGUGAGGUAAAGGCUCACCAAGCCGACGAUCUGUAGCUGGUCUGAGAGGACGACCAGCCACACUGGGACUGAGACACGGCCCAGACUCCUACGGGAGGCAGCAGUGGGGAAUUUUGGACAAUAGACGCAAGUCUGAUUCAGCCAUUCCGCGUGCAGGACGAAGGCCUUCGGGUUGUAAACUGCUUUUGUACGGAACGAAAAAGCUCUUACUAAUACUAGGAGUCCAUGACGGUACCGUAAGAAUAAGCACCGGCUAACUACGUGCCAGCCGCCGCGGUAA